AUAAACCAGAAAACAGCAAACGCCAAACAAACAAUAUUCA
rnacentral:sRNA from 1 species